rnacentral:lncRNA from 1 species
AGCAACAACUCAUUGAUAUUUGAACUAACUUUGCAUUUCUAGGAUAAACCCCACUUGGUCAUGAUGUACUAUUGUUUUCAUAAAUUCCUGGAUUCCUAUGCUAACUUUUUUAUGUGUGUAUGAGGAUUUCUGUACCUAUGUUUAUUGAAUUUGAUAGGUUUUAGUAUCAAGUUUCUGUGGGCUUCAUGAAAAAUAUUGGAGAAUGUUCCCUUUAUUUUCUGGAAGAGUUUGUGAAAGAUUAGAAUUAUUUCUUCCUUAAGUGUAUGAUAGAUAGAAUUCAGUAGUGAAACUUGAAGCGUUUUUUUUUUUUUUGUCAGAGGUGUUUUGUUUCUUUUUAUCUAGGUAUAACUUACAGUAAAAUUAACACUGUUUUGGUGUACAGUACUAUGAGUUCUGUGAACCUAUGAAUUAAAUAAGUUUUCAUUUCUCUCAGGAGAUUGGAACACAGAGAGAGAUGCCAGGGGUGCAGGAGUGACGACCACGCAAAGAGGCAGCAAGAAGUGGGCAUCUGCAGCCAAGGGGAGGCCUCAGAGGAAACCAAGCCUGCCAGCGCCUUAGUCUCGGACUUCAAGCCUUCAGAACUGUGCGAAAAUAAAUGUCUGUUGUUUAAGCCCCUCAGUCUGUGGGAUUUUGUUAUGGAAGCCCUAGUGAUGAAUAUUAGACUUUUCAAAAACCUACUUUUGCUUUGUUGAUUUUCUCUAUUUUCAGUUUCAUUGAUUUCUCCUCUUAAUUACUUUAUUUUACUUCCUUUGCAUUUAAUUUACUCUUCAUUUACUAGCCUAAGGUAAUGCUUAAAUAAUUUAAACUUUCUUUUCUGAAAUAAGUAUUUCAAGUCAUAAUUCUAAAAUAAGCAUUUUAAUUCAUAAACUUCCCUUUAACAUCUGUUUUAGCUUUAUCCUGCAGAUGCUCAUGUAGCUUUCUUCUUUGACACUUGUUAAUUGUCUAUGGCCAUAUGUUUUAUUCCCACAUAUGAUACAAACCCCACAGUACACUGUCAUUCAUUUUACUUUGAACAACCAUUUGAUUUUUCUUUAAGAAAGGAAAAUUGUUUUCAUAUUGAUCCACAUAAUCUAGUCACCAUUUCCAGAGCUUUCGUUCCUUCCUGGAGACCUGACUCUGCAUCUGGAAAUUCUUCCAGCAUUUCCCUCAGCAUUCCUGCAGGAUGGGUUACUGGUGGACAAAUUCUGUUUUUUGUUCAUCUCAAAAUGUUUAAUUUGCCUUCAGUUUUGAAAGAUGUUUUCCUGUGUAUUGAUCCUAAAUUUGACAAUCCUCCCUUUAGCACCUAAAGAUAUCAUUCCAUUUUCUCCGGGCCUGUAUUGUUUCUAAAGAAAUGUAAG